UUGUAGGAAAUGCAUGGCCACUAUUUGAGUGGUUGAUUACUUAUCAUUUUAAGAUCCAGUUGAAUCAAGCUAAGUUAGUUGAAUCUCACUUCUCACUUGACUUCCUAACAAAUUCUAUUACCAAUAUUUAUGGUGGCAUCAUUUACUAGUAUCCUAGAAAACAUAAAUUUAUUUGCACAACAUAUGCACACCUGAAACAAGAUAAAGAGAGAACAUUGCAAAUGAAG
rnacentral:lncRNA from 1 species